rnacentral:rRNA from 1 species
AUUGAACGCUGGCGGCAGGCCUAACACAUGCAAGUCGAACGGUAACAGGAAGCAGCUUGCUGCUUUGCUGACGAGUAGCGGACGGGUGAGUAAUGUCUGGGAAACUGCCUGAUGGAGGGGGAUAACUACUGGAAACGGUAGCUAAUACCGCAUAACGUCGCAAGACCAAAGAGGGGGACCUUCGGGCCUCUUGCCAUCGGAUGUGCCCAGAUGGGAUUAGCUAGUAGGUGGGGUAACGGCUCACCUAGGCGACGAUCCCUAGCUGGUCUGAGAGGAUGACCAGCCACACUGGAACUGAGACACGGUCCAGACUCCUACGGGAGGCAGCAGUGGGGAAUAUUGCACAAUGGGCGCAAGCCUGAUGCAGCCAUGCCGCGUGUAUGAAGAAGGCCUUCGGGUUGUAAAGUACUUUCAGCGGGGAGGAAGGGAGUAAAGUUAAUACCUUUGCUCAUUGACGUUACCCGCAGAAGAAGCACCGGCUAACUCCGUG